CUGCCUCCUCUGCCCUUAAGUCACCGACUCUCAGGGACGCUGAGUCUGGACUGCUCAGCAGUGGCCUGCUAGCUGGGGCUCUGCCACAGGGUCUCAGGGGCAGAACCAGAGCCGUGGAGCAGCAUGGCUUCCGCUAGGUUUCAACUUGUGGAAUUGUUUUGUGAAAACCUUCCAAAGAAAUCUGAAGAAGAGGUCUGCUCGGAUCUUAUUGUAAUGGAGAGCGUAUGCAGUGCAGAUAUGGCUGACGCCGUGGAUGCUCAAGUUAACAACUCCGAAUCCUGUCCCUUGCUUCGUGAAACACAGCAAGAGUUGCGUCGCAGAGUCUGUGAGCCCUCUGGCUCCUACAGUCUCCCAGGCCUGAACCAGCCCUUUGACUCCUCCACUCCAAGGAAUUGGUGCGACUGAAUACUUGAGCUAUUUGAAGAGUUCCUGCAGCGACUGCAGCAGUUUCGGAAAGCCCUGGACUGGCUUAAGCAGAUAGCGGCUGCCUACCUACAGGGCUUGUGCAGAGCGGCUGAGGCCAUCUGGACAGUGUUGAAGGGUUUUUGCUCCUCUCUGGAGCAGCUCUUCAAGAGCCUCAUCCAGGUCUAGAAGCCCCAAAGGGUCCCCAGGGAGCUUGGCCUCAUCUAGAAGCCUCGAUUUUCCCUUUUCACAGGGCAUCUUCUGAUUCAUCCUGUACAAUUCUGCUCACCUUUGACCCAUCCUCGCAGCCUGCCUCACCCCCUCCCCUUCAGGGAGGGCACCACCCAGCCCAUCUAAGUCUCUCUGCCUGGAUUUUCCUGCACCAUGUCUGACCUGCCUGUCACUGUAGUGCUGAUGUCCUAAUAAAAGUCAGUUGACCCAAAUGGAG
ensembl:lncRNA